GCUCAGGUAAACUCGUCCUUCGAAGCAGCAAAUGGAAAUCUGUCAGAAGUACAACAAACUCAUCAGAACUCAGAACAACUGCUAGAUGACGUGACAGAGGCGGAAGAAUUGUUGGCACAGUACAUGGCACAGAGAGACGAACUUGAGAGACUGGGCCUUGAGAUACAGGAGCUUGAAAGAGAGGCUGAUGAUUUGUUGGCUGAGUUUAGUGUGGCCGCUGACCAGUACUCACGUUGUGCGGGCGCAGCAUGAUGACUACCGGAGCAUUUGAAGCUGGUCAGAACAACAGAAGACAUCCACAGUUGUGUGUAUAUUUUAAGAAUAGCUAUUAUUCUAGAGCUUAACAGUCAACUCAACGUCAUACUUUGUGAUGGCCUCUGGAGGCUAAUUUUAUAUGGCUGGCGUCUUUACGCAUUACAUGCUGGCAUUACGAGAAUUCGGUUUAUUAGGGUUCUAGAUCAAAUGUUUUAACAAAUGGUCGUGUUUUGGAGUGAAAACACGAACAGUAGUUCCAAAUCAUUGACAAACGGAAUACUGAGAAUCUGUUUAGAUUAAUAUAUUAUUUAGAGACGGUCAAAUAUUUUGAGGUCGUAUGAAAAUCGGCAGGCACGAAUUAAGUUUGAUAACAUGACCGGUGUUUUUACAUGUAACUAAUGUUUUACGUUUUUUACGAGAACAGGUUAGUAGUGAAACCCUACUGAAUAUUUUUUAUGACCUACCUAAUGUCCUUUAUUUUUGCGGGGUGCGAAUUUAGUAAGUUUUGAUUAUUAUUAAAACUUCUCCCAACCGUAUGUUCACUUGUUGGGCUGGUAAAAUGUCAUCGCGGAAGGAAUGUUCGGAGAACGGAAAAAAUGGAGACGGGUGUUUCUCCCUACAGACCCCGUGACCUAGUUUGAACAGAAGUCGUAUCAAUACUGGUUAUAUAUUGCGUGAUGUUUUGGAUUUAACAAGUCAAGAAAAAUAUAUGCGAAAGAAUCUAAAAGCGCGAAUGUUUUUUAGAUCUUUAACGUCACUGUCAAAACUUCGUUUCUAGUACAGCUUUUUGUAGAAAAUUGUUCGUGGUUGCUUUUAUCCGGGCUAGUAACCAUACCUUUGUUAUGGAAAUUUUUGCUCCUUGUUUUUAAAGCUGUUUUAAUUUCGAAACCAGAUAACAUGACCGGUGUUUUUACAUGUAACUAAUGUUUUACGUUUUUUACGAGAUCAGGUUAGUAGUGAAACCCUACUGAAUAUUUUUUAUGACCUACCUAAUGUCCUUUAUUUUUGCGGGGGUGCGAAUUUAGUAAAUUUGGCCACGUAGAAAACUGAGUCAAUUAUAAAGUUUGGAGUUUUUAGUGAAAAAAAAAA